ACAAAGGCAGAAUGAAGCCAUGUUAAGAGUCAUGUUAAUUCAAUUAACGUGAACUCUAAAGUGGGAGGAGGAAGAAAUUGCCAACGUUAGUGGCACUCACCUUUGUCACUAACGUUGGAGAUAGCAAUUGCCACCACGUUAGUGGCGACGUUAAUCUAAUUAACGUGAACUCUAACGUGGGAAGGAGGGGCGUUUGGAGCGUUAGUGACAAAGGUAAGUGUCACUAACGCUCUCGAAGCUUAGGCAUGCCCACGUUAAGGGUCAC